GGAAAAGUUCCACGGUUCAGGGGGAGAGACAAGGGACCCAGUGCAGAGGAAGGGCUAGGGCUCUGGGGGUCGUGGACCACCCUGGCGCGCGCUCAGGGCUCCGCGGGUUUCUGGUAGAAGAGCGGAGUGAGGGAUUGAACCCUCAACCUUGGUGAGUUGGGAUGACACGCUAACCAACUGACCCACCCAGCCAGGGCCACUGUUUUUCUUAUCCCCACACCAAACCUAAACCCAAAGGUGUGUUGUGUUGGAAUAGAAGCAGAAAAUAACUGUGGAAUCAGAGGAAGCCGAGGACAUCACUUGAAAAAGGAGUGGAAGGAUUUCAAUCUGGAACAAAAUAUUGCCAAAAUUAUAAGGAUGAUGCAGAGAAAAGCGUAGGACUGAUUUGUAAAUGGAAUCAGCCGGAGUCAUUUCCACUGCAGUGGAAAGCUGGCCUCGAAGGCUUUUUCACCACUGGCUUCCUGAAGCUUUUAAGUUCAAAAAAGAACCCUAACCUAUCUAAGCCCUGGAAAUACAGUGGAGUCCAGACAGACGGGGUCCCUUGUGGAGGUUUACAUCCAACUUGGGAGAAGACAGGCAACAAAGAUGACUGCACUGAGAAUGAACGAAAUAAUUUCACAUGGCGAUAAGUGAGUGACCUGAAGAAGCCAAACAGGCUACAGGAACAGAGAGGGCUGGCCGAGGUGCAGUCGUGGGAGCUGCCUCAGGUGGAGAGAUCACUGGUGGCUGCUCUGAAGAGAUAACAUUUGAGCUGAGACUAAUGAGGAGGAAAAGCCGGCCAUGCAAAGCUCUGGGCCAAGAACACUCUAAGGCAAAAUCUAGUUUCAUUUUGGAGAUUCAACAUACAGGAGGCCAGAAGAAGGGGAGAGAACGGGAGGUGACAUCUGAGGGAGGCAGGAGCCAGAUCCUGGGUGCUGUGCCACCUGAGGGUGUAUCUUCUUCUAACUGCACUGGGAAGGUUUGGGGUGGUUAGGCCUUCAUAAGAAUGAGUUUGUAUGUUCAAUUUGGUGGUAUUUUAGGGGUCAACCUAGAAAUUUUCCUGUGUUUUAAAAUAAUGUUUUUGUCACACUUGAGUAUUUAUUUUUAAAGUUUGUAGCUUCUGCAUGGAAAGGAUUAAACCUGAGGAAGAGAACCAACGUGACCUGAAACCCCAUUGAUAGCAUCUCUCAGAAAUGUAAAUGACUCCUGUUCAUCUUCCCCCGUGACUCCUCAUUAGAGAGACUGCCUGAUGGUAGCAGAUGCACAAGGGCUAGAAAGGGAGGUGGUAAGAGAAGUUUUGCCACAGCACAUGUUAUUUUAAUUUUCAUGAUUUUUUCUAUUUUUUCUCAAUGAACAAGCAUACAUGAUGUUUGAUGAUCAGGAAAAAGAUAUAGUUUCACUUUUUCCUAACUUACUAUGUCGGAAAAUCCAAACUUAUAGAAAAGCUGUUAAAAUAACACUACGUGAACUCUAUCCUUCACUUAAAUUCACCAUUUGUUAACAUGGUCCACAUCUGCUUCUGUCUCACACACAGUGUGUUCAGUACAUAGUAUGUUGUUUUUGCUCAAGCAUUUAUACGCAAACAUUUAUACUCUUUUGGUUCAAACACUUAACAGUAAUUUGCAGAUAUGAUGAUGCUUCACCCCUACAUACUUCAGCAAGUAUCCCGAGAACCAAGACAUUCUCCUAUGUAUCCACUGUCUUAACUUGUGCUGCUGUACCAGAAUGCCACAGACCGUGUGGUUUGUAAACAAAAGAAGCUUAUUUCUCACAGUUUUGGAGGAUAGAGGUCUGAGAUCAGGUCCUGGUGAGAGCCCUCUUCUGAGGUACCGAUAGCAGUUUUCUCCUGUGGAGGAGGGGACGAGAGAGCUCUCUGGGCUCUUUUACUAGUGCACUAGUCCCAUUCAUAGAAGCCCCCCUCACCAUGACCUGAUCACCUCCUCAAAGGUGCCCACCUCCUAACAUCACUGCAUUGGGGGUAAGGAUUUCAACAUGUGAGUUGCGGGAGGGGGCACAAACAUUCAGUCCAUACUAACCACCACAACGUUAACAUACCCUCCCAAAAUGAUGAGCAAUAUAAAUUUUAUGUAAUACAUAGCACAUAUUCACACUGCACCAAUUGUCCUAAAAAUGCCUUUUAUGGUUUGCUGUGUUUUUGAAUCCAGAAGCCAGUCAUGGAUCAUUCUUUGCAUUUCAUUGGCAUGUCUCUUUAGUGUCCUUAAUUCUUGAACAGUCCCAUUGCCAUUUUUGAAAAGGAUCUGGUCCAGUUGUCCUGUUGAGUGUCCCACGGUCUGGAUUUGCAUGCCCCUACUCCCACAAUUACAUUUAGAGGAAACACUGUUGGCAAGAAUGCUACAUAAGUGAUGUCAUGGACUUCAUCCUGUAUCACGUCAGGAGGCUGAUACUACAGAUCAAGUUGUCCUGGGAGGAGGGAUGCUAAGUUUGAACCAGAUGGUACCCUCCAGAUGUCCCUUGUCCCUCUAUAAUUAAUCACUAUCCCAUGGGGUGGUACUUCAGUUCUGUGUGAUCAUUUUAUUCCCCAACAACCGUUCAUCUCAUGAAAGCUUUUCGUGUCCAUUGCUGAUUUUUGCCUGACUCGAAUAUUGCAUCUGUUGGUACAUAACAAUUUUUUCAAACACUAUUAAAUAUUAGUAUCAACACUAUCUAGUACUAUCAAGAAAAAAACAA